rnacentral:rRNA from 1 species
UACGGAGGGUGCAAGCGUUAAUCGGAAUUACUGGGCGUAAAGCGUGCGUAGGCGGCCAACUAAGUCAGACGUGAAAUCCCUCGGCUUAACCGGGGAACUGCGUCUGAUACUGGAUGGCUUGAAUCCGGGAGAGGGAUGCGGAAUUCCAGGUGUAGCGGUGAAAUGCGUAGAUAUCUGGAGGAACACCGGUGGCGAAGGCGGCAUCCUGGACCGGCAUUGACGCUGAGGAGCGAAAGCCAGGGGAGCAAACGGG